rnacentral:rRNA from 1 species
UACGUAGGCAGCGAGCGUUGUUCGGAGUUACUGGGCGUAAAGGGUGUGUAGGCGGUUCUCUAAGUUUGGUGUGAAAUCUCCCGGCUCAACCGGAAGGGUGCGCCGAAAACUGGGGGACUCGAGUGCGGGAUGGGAGAGUAGAAUUCCUGGUGUAGCGGUGAAAUGCGUAGAUAUCAGGAGGAAUACCGGUGGUGUAGACGGCUCUCUGGACCGCCACUGACGCUGAGACACGAAAGCGUGGGUAGCAAACAGG